AGGACUGACCAGCUCUGACUCCCAGCUGAGAAGGGAGCAGCACUAGGGGAGAGGAGGUGUAUUAGUGUGAUACCUGUCCCCCACUUUGCCUAAAGCCAAGGAAAGGAAAGAGGCCAGCGACAAAAAUUUCAGAACACUGGAGACGUCAUGCCCUACUUCAUUUCAAUUCCUGGCUGCAAAUUUACUGUCUACUAGCCAAUCGUUAGGCUACCCUGUUCUUUUAUUUCAGAGAGGCAUUCUACAACUUAUUUUAACUCUUAUUGGAGCUGAUACUCACCUGGUCAUUUGUCUGUUGUGCUGUCAUUUUGGAGAUGACUGCAAGAAGUGUGACACACCUUUUGCAUGCUUUUGGGAGGCUUUAAAAAGCAGGUGAACCAAGAGAGCUGGUGCUUGGAGCACACAGCAAGAGAAAGCUGACCUCACUUCAUGGGCAGAAGAAUCCCAGCUACCUGCAUUAUUUAGGACAACCAACAUUUUUUGAAGCUGAAUUGCAAUACGUAUUCUAGCAGAUUCCACAAGGACUUUCUUUGUUUUUGUAUUCUUUAAUGGAGUUUUUCAGUAUAGCUAUUAUGAAUGAAGUGAAAUCUGCUACUUGUCACAAAGUACGGUACUGCAGCAUACUUUCAAAUAUGUCUUCAAGCCUGAUGAGAUAUCUGCUUUUUGUCCACUUAAUUGUAGACAUAAAGGCAACAUCAACAUGUGUUCAUCUGUUUAUUUCUGAGGACUUCAUAUGCUCUUCAUACUGAUUUGACUUGAAGUUUUCCUAAAAUGCUUAAUGACUGAUGAACAGGAAGCACAACCAAGAAACUUUGCUUUCUUUCAUGGGGCCACUGGUUUUUUCUUCUGUUGACUAGCCUUUUCAUUUUGGAAUUCAAUGUAAUUUACAGUGCCUUUUCCCAUUGAAAUCUACAAAUCUCAAAGCUGCAUCUGUUGCCGAGUGACGAAAUUGCACAAUGUGAUUAUUUUGUUGACUGUAUAAGAAUCUACUCUUUGUAUUCAUGA